UUCAUGACCCCGGUCGUCCUCAACCUCUCGUCAGACUCAGGCAACGAGCCAGCGCCCGCACCCCACUCGCGCCCGACCCCUCCCCUCCUCCACCUCGCCCCAAAUCCGCUCUGAACGGACCCCCCACUCUGCCCUAACUUCUACUCUUCCGUUACCCGCACUAAACCGCGCCCUAAUGGCCAUUAGAACACCGGAAACAGCCGCCAUGAAGACGCCAUAAUUCCGACGACGCCCUGCAACGUUCCGACCUCCCCUGCAUCCUAUAAAAGGCCCCCUCCCCUCACAACUCUCUCCUUGCCCGAACCCCUCUCCUCCGGGAGCUUAUACCCCUACCCAUCGUCGUGAAUUGCUCACCGGAGUUGCGUGAUGCUGGUGCUGUUCGUGGAAGGUUCCGGCGAGUCCGAGCCGGAGUACGCAUCUGGUCGGAGCUCCGCCCAACUCCGGCGAUGCAUCACGGUCACCAGAGGACGGUUCCAAGGGCGUUUUGGUGUUCAGCAAGUUUUCCUCGACUUCCUCUACUCCGUCCACCUCUCUUUCGUUGCCGAAGACAUCCGCAUCAUCGAGCGAGAGCAUGCCAAGUUUGUUGUCCAUCGCCGGCCAACUCCUCCGAUUGCGACGAGUGCGAAGGCGAAUUCUACGAGGAGGUAGAACCGUGUUGCUGCGAGUCAGAAGG